rnacentral:rRNA from 1 species
AACGAACGCUGGCGGCAGGCCUAACACAUGCAAGUCGAACGCUGUAGCAAUACAGAGUGGCAGACGGGUGAGUAACACGUGGGAAUCUACCUGGAGGUACGGAAUAGCUCAGGGAAACUUGAGGUAAUACCGUAUACGCCCUUACGGGGAAAGAUUUAUCGCCUUCAGAUGAGCCCGCGUCUGAUUAGCUAGUUGGUGAGGUAAUGGCUCACCAAGGCGACGAUCAGUAGCUGGUUUGAGAGAAUGACCAGCCACACUGGGACUGAGACACGGCCCAGACUCCUACGGGAGGCAGCAGUGGGGAAUAUUGGACAAUGGGCGCAAGCCUGAUCCAGCCAUGCCGCGUGAGUGACGAAGGCCUUAGGGUUGUAAAGCUCUUUUGGCGGGGACGAUAAUGACGGUACCCGCAGAAUAAGCCCGGCUAACUUCGUG